rnacentral:rRNA from 1 species
GAUGAACGCUGGCGGCGUGCCUAAUACAUGCAAGUCGAGCGAACAGACGAGGAGCUUGCUCCUCUGACGUUAGCGGCGGACGGGUGAGUAACACGUGGAUAACCUACCUAUAAGACUGGGAUAACUUCGGGAAACCGGAGCUAAUACCGGAUAAUAUAGUGAACCGCAUGGUUCAAUAGUGAAAGACGGUUUUGCUGUCACUUAUAGAUGGAUCCGCGCCGCUUUAGCUAGUUGGUAAGGUAACGGCUUACCAAGGCGACGAUGCGUAGCCGACCUGAGAGGGUGAUCGGCCACACUGGAACUGAGACACGGUCCAGACUCCUACGGGAGGCAGCAGUAGGGAAUAUUCCGCAAUGGGCGAAAGCCUGACGGAGCCACGCCGCGUGAGUGAUGAAGGUCUUCGGAUCGUAAAACUCUGUUAUUAGGGAAGAACAAAUGUGUAAGUAACUAUGCCCGUCUUGACGGUACCUAAUCAGAAAGCCACGGCUAACUACGUG